UUUUGUAUCAGUAAUACAAGUCUAAAAAACUGAUUCAAAUGAUCAAGUUAACACAAUGAAGUAAAGAGUACUGGUAAUCUGCAGCUAUUUUCAUAAUUUCAAGGUAAAAUUCUGAUGUGUGAUUUUCUAGCUUUGCAGAUGUGGAAAUCCAAUGCACUGAUUUCUUAUACACAGAUGCUUUUGGUGUUUUUUGUUGUAAAAUAAAACAAGGCAUUUAUCACUGUUGGAAAUGAUUACAGGUAUUAUUUGUAACACUUUCUAACAUUGUAUGGGCAAAGCAAUAAAUCAGUUAAUGGAUAAAAUCAUUUGUAUUACAGAUGCUAUCAACAGCAUGUCUUGUUCAUUUUAUUUAGUUGUCGGCCUUGGAUGAUGAGGUCCAGUUACCAGGAGCACUAGUCUGCAGCUUACUGGUUCCGUCCUGCAGCUCCUCCACGCUGUCCUCCUCUCUACAGACCAAAUCAAGAAAAGGGAACCAGGAAGCUGCUGUGGAUCCUCUGCAGUAUCUGGAGAGGUCAGAGGAACGGUUCUUGGAACAGAUCGGAAGACACCAAGACGUGACCUCUGCCAUUCUCCAGAACAUCCAGAAGAUGAAUGAAAACCUUGGUUGCACUGAUGGGACGCAUGGUGUCGGUGCUGGAGCAACUGUCCCAGAAUUAAACUGCAUUGUUGACUAUUGGCUUUUCUAGAAAAUAAAUCUUUUUUAGUACUUCACCUGUUUUGUAUUUUACUCAUGCACUUUGGGUGAAUAAACAGAAAUUUGUGAUGAGAGAUGCAAA